rnacentral:rRNA from 1 species
UACGUAGGCAGCGAGCGUUGUUCGGAAUUACUGGGCGUAAAGAGUGUGUAGGCGGUGCUCCCAGUCUGUUGUGAAAUCUCCCGGCUUAACUGGGAGGGUGCGGCGGAAACUAGAGUGCUAGAGGGUGGGAGAGGUAAGCGGAAUUCCUGGUGUAGCGGUGAAAUGCGUAGAUAUCAGGAGGAACACCUGUGGUGUAGACAGCUUACUGGACCACUUCUGACGCUGAGACACGAAAGCGUGGGCAGCAAACAGG